GGCGCACGGGUGAGUAACGCGUGGGUAUCUGCCCUGGAGUGGGGGACAACUGCUGGAAACGGCAGCUAAUACCGCAUACGCCCUUAGGGGGAAAGCUUUAUGCGCUCCAGGAUGAGCCCGCGUCGGAUUAGCUUGUUGGUGAGGUAACGGCUCACCAAGGCGACGAUCCGUAGCUGGUCUGAGAGGAUGAUCAGCCACACUGGGACUGAGACACGGCCCAG
rnacentral:rRNA from 1 species